UGCAAGUCGAACGGUGACGAGCAGCUUGCUGCUCUGAUCAGUGGCGAACGGGUGAGUAACACGUGAGCAACCUACCCUUGACUCCGGGAUAACAGCUGGAAACAGCUGCUAAUACCGGAUACGACCUCGACCGACAUCGGCUGAGGUGGAAAGUUCUGGCGGUCAAGGAUGGGCUCGCGGCCUAUCAGCUAGUUGGUGAGGUAACGGCUCACCAAGGCUUCGACGGGUAGCCGGCCUGAGAGGGCGACCGGCCACACUGGGACUGAGAUACGGCCCAGACUCCUACGGGAGGCAGCAGUGGGGAAUAUUGCACAAUGGGCGAAAGCCUGAUGCAGCAACGCCGCGUGCGGGAUGACGGCCUUCGGGUUGUAAACCGCUUUCAGCUCCGACGAAGCGCAAGUGACGGUAGGAGCAGAAGAAGGACCGGCCAACUACGUGCCAGCAGCCGCGGUGAUACGUAGGGUCCGAGCGUUGUCCGGAAUUAUUGGGCGUAAAGGGCUUGUAGGCGGUUUGUCGCGUCGGAAGUGAAAACUCAGGGCUUAACCCUGAGCCUGCUUCCGAUACGGGCAAACUAGAGGAAUGCAGGGGAGAAUGGAAUUCCUGGUGGAGCGGUGGAAUGCGCAGAUAUCAGGAGGAACACCAGUGGCGAAGGCGGUUCUCUGGGCAUUUCCUGACGCUGAGAAGCGAAAGCGUGGGGAGCAAACAGGCUUAGAUACCCUGGUAGUCCACGCCGUAAACGGUGGGCACUAGGUGUGGGACUCAUUCCACGAGUUCCGUGCCGUAGCUAACGCAUUAAGUGCCCCGCCUGGGGAGUACGGCCGCAAGGCUAAAACUCAAAGGAAUUGACGGGGGCCCGCACAAGCGGCGGAGCAUGCGGAUUAAUUCGAUGCAACGCGAAGAACCUUACCUAGGUUUGACAUAUACCGGAAAGCUGCAGAGAUGUAGCCCCCGCAAGGUCGGUAUACAGGUGGUGCAUGGCUGUCGUCAGCUCG
rnacentral:rRNA from 1 species